rnacentral:lncRNA from 10 species
GGAUCGUGCUCUUUAUAAUACAUUGUGCAGUUAUAUACAGUUUACCACUAUCCCCCGACGGGUUUUUCACAGAGGAUACACUGUAGAGUACAUACAAAAAGCUCACCUAAAGUCCACUUCAAUAGGAAAACUUGCCACUUAAAAACAAUUUUUAUACAGAGAGAUGAAAGUAAAACUUUCUUCUACUCAUGAGAGGCUAAUGAAAGUAAUGUUUAGAUUGUGCGUGGUGGCUUAUGCCUAUAAUCCCAGCGCUUUGGGAGACCAAGGUGAGAAGAUUGCUUGAGGUCAGGAAUCUGAGAUCAGCCUGGGCAACAUAAUGAGACCUCAUCUCUACAAAAAAAUUUUUAAAAUUAGCAGGGCAUGUUGGUGUGCAGCUGUUGUCCUGUCUACUUGGGAGGCUGAGGUGGGAGAAUCACUUGAGCCCAACUGUAAAAUGGCCACGUAUUACUUUUAUGAAGUAGCAUGAUCAUAGCUUACUAACUGCAGUUAGAAGCUGCAGUGAGCUAUGACUGUGCAACUGCACUUCAGUCUGGGUGACAGAGUGAGGCCCUGUC